rnacentral:lncRNA from 1 species
AGGGUAAAUUUACCAAUCACAAUUUGUUAUACGUAGUAGUAUUCUUUUGGGCGGUUGUAUGCUUAACUUGUUUUUUUUUUGUGUGUGACAGCGGCCUCUUCUUGAUGAUGAUCUCAGGCAUCUUCUGCAAGGACUUCUUACUGGAGUAUAUGGUGCUAGGUUUAAUGAGGAAUUUAUUGCUUUGGCCUGAAGCCUAAUGAGGAAUUUAUUGCUGAGGACCCGGCGCUUAAUGAUGAAUUUAUUGCAGAGGGCUAGGGCUAGGGUUAUUGUCUCCGCUUCAUCCAACUAUAUAUUCGUAUGAGCUUUGUCAGCUUUGGUUUUGAUUACUUGCAAGUAGUCAGAUAUGCACCAUGUCCUAUGGUCAGUGUAUGAAUUGUAAACCUCAAUUAUCUCAACCUUAUCCAACUAUUCAUGUGAGCUUUUUCAGCUUUGUUUUGAUUACUUGCAAGUAGUGAGAUAUGCACCAUGUCCUAUGGUCAGUGUAUGAAUUUUUAACUUUAAUUAUCUCAGCCUUAUCCAACUAUUCAUGUGUGCUUUGUUAUCUUUCUUACUUAUGAUUGCUUGCAAGUAGUCAAAUAUGCACCAUGUCCUAUGGUCAGUGUAUGAAUUGUAAACCUUAAUUAUCUCAACCUUAUCCAACUAUUCAUGUGAGCUUUUUCAGCUUUGUUUUGAUUACUUGCAACUAGUCAGAUAUGCACCAUGUCCUAUGGUCAGUGUAUGAAUUUUUAACCUUAAUUAUCUCAGCCUUAUCCAACUAUUCAUGUGUGCUUUGUUAGCUUUCUUACUUAUGAUUGCUUGCAAGUAGUCAAAUAUGCACCAUGUCCUAUGGUCAGUGUAUGAAUUGUAAACCUUAAUUAUCUCAACCUUAUCCAACUAUUCAUGUGAGCUUUCUCAGCUUUGUUUUGAUUACUUGUAAGUAGUCAAAUAUGCACUAUGUCUUAUGGUAAUUGUAUGAACUGUAAAC